GCGUUAAGUUGCAGGGUAUAGACCCGAAACCCGGUGAUCUAGCCAUGGGCAGGUUGAAGGUUGGGUAACACUAACUGGAGGACCGAACCGACUAAUGUUGAAAAAUUAGCGGAUGACCUGUGGCUGGGGGUGAAAGGCCAAUCAAACCGGGAGAUAGCUGGUUCUCCCCGAAAGCUAUUUAGGUAGCGCCUCGUGAAUUCAUCUCCGGGGGUAGAGCACUGUUUCGGCUAGGGGGCCAUCCCGGCUUACCAACCCGAUGCAAACUGCGAAUACCGGAGAAUGUUAUCACGGGAGACACACGGCGGGUGCUAACGUCCGUCGUGAAGAGGGAAACAACCCAGACCGCCAGCUAAGGUCCCAAAGUCAUGGUUAAGUGGGAAACGAUGUGGGAAGGCCCAGACAGCCAGGAUGUUGGCUUAGAAGCAGCCAUCAUUUAAAGAAAGCGUAAUAGCUCACUGGUCGAGUCGGCCUGCGCGGAAGAUGUAACGGGGCUAAACCAUGCACCGAAGCUGCGGCAGCGAACGUAUCACC
rnacentral:rRNA from 1 species